AUCGGUAGCUCAGUUGGUUAGAGCGCUGCACCUGAAUCGCAGGGCCGCAGGCUCGAUUCUUGCCAAAGGGUA